rnacentral:piRNA from 1 species
UUCAUCGUGGCAACGACGGGCAACCGGAC